rnacentral:rRNA from 1 species
CCUACGGGUGGCAGCAGUCGAGAAUCAUUCACAAUGGGGGAAACCCUGAUGGUGCGACGCCGCGUGGGGGAAUGAAGGUCUUCGGAUUUUAAACCCCUGUCAUGUGGGAGCAAAUUAAAAAUAUAGUACCACAAGAGGAAGAGACGGCUAACUCUGUGCCAGCAGCCGCGGUAAUACAGAGGUCUCAAGCGUUGUUCGGAAUCACUGGGCGUAAAGCGUGCGUAGGCUGUUUCGUAAGUCGUGUGUGAAAGGCGCGGGCUCAACCCGGGAACGGCACAUGAUCCUGGGAGACUAGAGUAAGGGAGGGGGAAGCGGAAUUCGCGGUGUAGCAGUGAAAUGCGUAGAUAUCGAGAGGAACACUAGUGGCGAAGGCGGGUUCCUGGAAAAUAACUGACGCUGAGGCGCGAAGGCGAGGGGAGCGAAAGGGAUUAGAUACCCCUGUAGUC